rnacentral:rRNA from 1 species
AUUGAACGCUGGCGGCAUGCCUUACACAUGCAAGUCGAACGGCAGCACGGGAGCAAUCCUGGUGGCGAGUGGCGAACGGGUGAGUAAUACAUCGGAACGUGCCCAGUAGUGGGGGAUAGCCCGGCGAAAGCCGGAUUAAUACCGCAUGAGACCUGAGGGUGAAAGCGGGGGAUCGCAAGACCUCGCGCUAUUGGAGCGGCCGAUGUCAGAUUAGCUAGUUGGUAGGGUAAAGGCCUACCAAGGCAACGAUCUGUAGUUGGUCUGAGAGGACGACCAGCCACACUGGGACUGAGACACGGCCCAGACUCCUACGGGAGGCAGCAGUGGGGAAUUUUGGACAAUGGGCGCAAGCCUGAUCCAGCAAUGCCGCGUGCAGGAAGAAGGCCUUCGGGUUGUAAACUGCUUUUGUCAGGGAAGAAAUCUUCUGGGCUAAUACCCUGGGAGGAUGACGGUACCUGAAGAAUAAGCACCGGCUAACUACGUGCCAGCAGCCGCCGCCGUAA